GACGAACGCUUGCGGCGUGCCUAAGAAAUGCAAGUCGAGCGGAGAAGUAGCAAUACUUCUUAGCGGCGAACGGUCGCGUAACACGUAAGCAACCUGCCGAAAAGACCGGGACAACAGCCCGAAAGGGCUGCUAAUACCGGAUGUGGCCACUUUCUCGCAUGGGAGAGUGAUUAAACCGAGCAAUCGGCUUUUCGAGGGGCGUUGCGGCCUAUCAGCUAGUUGGUGGGGUAACGGCCUACCAAGGCGACGACGGGUAGCUGGUCUGAGAGGACGGCCAGCCGGACUGGGACUGAGAUACGGCCCAGACUCCUACGGGGGGCGAGCAAUUAGGAAUCUUGCGCAAUGGGCGAAAGACCUGACGCAGCGACGCCGCGUGGAGGAGGAAGUCCUCGGUAGUGUAAC
rnacentral:rRNA from 1 species